UGGGGAAUUUUGCACAAUGGGGGCAACCCUGAUGCAGCGACGCCGCGUGAUUUAGAAGGCCUUCGGGUUGUAAAAAUCUUUUGUAUAGGAAGAAAAUGACAGUACUAUACGAAUAAGGUCCGGCUAAUUACGUGCCAGCAGCCGCGGUAAUACGUAAGGACCGAGCGUUGUCCGGAAUCAUUGGGCGUAAAGGGUACGUAGGCGGUUAAAAAAGUUAGAAGUGAAAGGCUAUAGCUCAACUAUAGUAAGCUUUUAAAACUGUUUAACUUGAGAGAUGGAAGGGAGAGUGGAAUUCCUGGUGUAGCGGUGAAAUGCGCAGAUAUUAGGGGGGAUACCGGUGGCGAAGGCGACUUUCUGGGCAUUAUCUGACGCUGAGGUACGAAAGGGUGGGUAGCAAACAGG
rnacentral:rRNA from 1 species